AUUGAACGCUGGCGGCAGGCUUAACACAUGCAAGUCGAGCGGGGAUAGGGUGCUUGCACCUGAUUCCUAGCGGCGGACGGGUGAGUAAUGCUUAGGAAUCUGCCUAUUAGUGGGGGACAACGUUUCGAAAGGGGCGCUAAUACCGCAUACGUCCUACGGGAGAAAGCAGGGGAUCUUCGGACCUUGCGCUAAUAGAUGAGCCUAAGUCGGAUUAGCUAGUUGGUGGGGUAAAGGCCUACCAAGGCGACGAUCUGUAGCGGGUCUGAGAGGAUGAUCCGCCACACUGGGACUGAGACACGGCCCAGACUCCUACGGGAGGCAGCAGUGGGGAAUAUUGGACAAUGGGGGGAACCCUGAUCUAGCCAUGCCGCGUGUGUGAAGAAGGCCUUAUGGUUGUAAAGCACUUUAAGCGAGGAGGAGGCUACUGAGACUAAUACUCUUGGAUAGUGGACGUUACUCGCAGAAUAAGCACCGGCUAACUCUGUGCCAGCAGCCGCGGUAACAC
rnacentral:rRNA from 1 species